AGUGAACGCUGGCGGUAGGCCUAACACAUGCAAGUCGAACGGCAGCACAGUAAGAGCUUGCUCUUACGGGUGGCGAGUGGCGGACGGGUGAGGAAUACAUCGGAAUCUACUUUUUCGUGGGGGAUAACGUAGGGAAACUUACGCUAAUACCGCAUACGACCUACGGGUGAAAGCAGUGGAUCUUCGGACCUUGCGCGAUUGUAUUAGCCGAUGUCGGAUUAGCUAGUUGGCGGGGUAAAGGCCCACCAAGGCGACGAUCCGUAGCUGGUCUGAGAGGAUGAUCAGCCACACUGGAACUGAGACACGGUCCAGACUCCUACGGGAGGCAGCAGUGGGGAAUAUUGGACAAUGGGCGAAAGCCUGAUCCAGCCAUACCGCGUGGGUGAAGAAGGCCUUCGGGUUGUAAAGCCCUUUUGUUGGGAAAGAAAAGCAGCAGGUUAAUACCCCGCUGUUCUGACGGUACCCAAAGAAUAAGCGCCGGCUAACUUCGUG
rnacentral:rRNA from 1 species